AACGCUGGCGGCGUGCUUAACACAUGCAAGUCGAACGAUGAUGCUGGAGCUUGCUCCAGUUGAUUAGUGGCGAACGGGUGAGUAACACGUGAGCAAUCUGCCCUUGACUCUGGGAUAACUGCGGGAAACUGUAGCUAAUACCGGAUACUUUCACCGGAAGGCAUCUUCUGGUGAUGAAAGAAUUUCGGUCAGGGAUGAGCUCGCGGCCUAUCAGCUUGUUGGUGAGGUAACGGCUCACCAAGGCGACGACGGGUAACCGGCCUGAGAGGGUGACCGGUCACACUGGGACUGAGACACGGCCCAGACUCCUACGGGAGGCAGCAGUGGGGAAUAUUGCACAAUGGGCGCAAGCCUGAUGCAGCAACGCCGCGUGAGGGAUGAAGGCCUUCGGGUUGUAAACCUCUUUUAGCAGGGAAGAAGCGAAAGUGACGGUACCUGCAGAAAAAGCACCGGCUAACUACGUG
rnacentral:rRNA from 1 species